UGUAUAAUACUUUUUUCUGAGUCAAGUAGUUUCUGAGUUAUCGACACUUUUGUCUGUCCACUUGAUUCAAGGUUUUUGAAAAGUUGCAGUAACACUUUUUUGAGUAUAUCUCGGGCAUUUUUUGAGGUACUCAAAUGAGGGUUACACUCAAAGGAGCUGUGUUUAAUGGAGAAUAUUUUGAUGUAUAAUACUUUUUUCUGAGUCAAGUAGUUUCUGAGUUAUCGACGCUUUUGUCUGUCCACUUGAUUCAAGGUUUUUGAAAAGUUGCAGUAACACUUUUUUGAGUAUAUCUUGGGCAUUUUUUGAGGAACUCAAAUGAGGGUUACACUCAAAGGAGCUGUGUUUAAUGGAGAAUAUUUUGAUGUAUAAUACUUUUUUCUGAGUCAAAUAGUUUCUGAGUUAUUGACACUUUUGUCUGUCCACUUGAUUCAAGGUUUUUGAAAAGUUGCAGUAACACUUUUUUGAGUAUAUCUUGGGCAUUUUUUGAGGCACUCAAAUGAGGGUUACACUCAAAGGAGCUGUGUUUAAUGGAGAAUAUUUUGAUGUAUAAUACUUUUUUCUGAGUCAAAUAGUUUCUGAGUUAUCGACACUAUUGUCUGUC